rnacentral:rRNA from 1 species
CAUUACUGAGUUUACGCUCUAUAACCCUUUGUGAACAUACCUAUAACUGUUGCUUCGGCGGGUAGGGUCUCCGUGACCCUCCCGGCCUCCCGCCCCCGGGCGGGUCGGCGCCCGCCGGAGGAUAACCAAACUCUGAUUUAACGACGUUUCUUCUGAGUGGUACAAGCAAAUAAUCAAAACUUUUAACAACGGAUCUCUUGGUUCUGGCAUCGAUGAAGAACGCAGCGAAAUGCGAUAAGUAAUGUGAAUUGCAGAAUUCAGUGAAUCAUCGAAUCUUUGAACGCACAUUGCGCCCGCCAGCAUUCUGGCGGGCAUGCCUGUUCGAGCGUCAUUUCAACCCUCAAGCUCUGCUUGGUGUUGGGGCCCUACAGCUGAUGUAGGCCCUCAAAGGUAGUGGCGGACCCUCCCGGAGCCUCCUUUGCGUAGUAACUUUACGUCUCGCACUGGGAUCCGGAGGGACUCUUGCCGUAAAACCCCCCAAUUUUCCAAAGGUUGACCUCGGAUCAGGUAGGAAUACCCGCUGAACUUAAAGCAUAUCAAUAAAANCG